AAACUGUUCAUUCUUUCAAUUGUCACCCCAAACUUAAAGGUUGAUAUCCCAUGAGCAACCCCAAACUUAAAUGUUUACCAAGACUCAAUGAGAAAUUCUUACCUAACUCCAAGUAAGGUGGGUAAUUUUUUUUCGGUCUUUGACUUGUAAUGUGGCUCAGUAACACAAUAAAAGGGUAUCAGGCUCAAAGGGGUUUAGCAAAGGAUAAUAUUAUUCAUAGGGUAGUCAGAAAAGGCUCAAGGUACCAAACAACAUGCCUUAGUGUAAUGCAAAAAUCAUAUGCAAUGCCGUUAAGAAUAAAUGCAAGUUCUGAAGGAAAAACACAUGUCUGGACAAUUCACACAUCAAGAAAAAUUUCAAGUGUUUAGGCUCAAAAGCUCACAGUUGAGAUAAUAGAGAGAAAUAAGAGUCUUUGGCAUCAUGCCAAACAAAAGAAAUUAUUCCAUCAAAAUCAUCGGCAGACUAAUAUGAUCCACAAGCAAUCAGUUGUGCAAGCUAACAAUUUUUUUUCUAA
rnacentral:lncRNA from 1 species